rnacentral:rRNA from 1 species
UACGUAGGGUGCAAGCGUUAUCCGGAAUCACUGGGCGUAAAGCGUGCGUAGGUGGUUUGUUAAGUGAAAUGUUAAAUCGUGUGGCUCAACCAUAUCGAUGCAUCUCAUACUGGCAGACUAGAGGACGGCAGAGGCAAGUGGAAUUGGUAGUGUAGCAGUGAAAUGCGUAGAUAUUACCAGGAACACCAAUGGCGAAGGCAGCUUGCUGGGCCACUCCUGACACUGAGGUACGAAAGCGUGGGGAGCGAACAGG